rnacentral:rRNA from 1 species
UACGUAGGGUGCAGGCGUUACUCGGAAUUACUGGGCGUAAAGCGUGCGUAGGCGGUUUGUUAAGUCCGUUGUGAAAGCCCUGGGCUCAACCUGGGAAUUGCAGUGGAUACUGGCGAGCUAGAGUGCGGUAGGGGAUGGUGGAAUUCCCGGUGUAGCGGUGAAAUGCGUAGAGAUCGGGAGGAACACCCGUGGCGAAGGCGGCCAUCUGGACCAGCACUGACGCUGAGGCACGAAAGCGUGGGGAGCAAACAGG